CCUACGGGCGGCAGCAGUGAGGAAUAUUGGUCAAUGGACGAGAGUCUGAACCAGCCAAGUAGCGUGAAGGAUGACUGCCCUAUGGGUUGUAAACUUCUUUUAUAAAGGACUAAAACGAGGCACGUGUGCCUUUUUGCAUGUACUUUAUGAAUAAGGAUCGGCUAACUCCGUGCCAGCAGCCGCGGUACUACGGAGGAUCCGAGCGUUAUCCGGUUGUAUUGGGUUUAAAGGGAGCGUAGAUGGGUUGUUAAGUCAGUUGUGAAAGUUUGCGGCUCAACCGUAAAAUUGCAAUUGAUACUGGCAGUCUUGAGUACAGUUGAGGUAAGCGGAAUUCGUGGUGUAGCGGUGAAAUGCUUAGAUAUCACGAAGAACCCCGAUUGCGAAGGCAGCUUACUAAACUGUGACUGACAUUGAUGCUCGAAAGUGUGGGUAUCAAACAGGAUUAGAUACCCCAGUAGUC
rnacentral:rRNA from 1 species